rnacentral:rRNA from 1 species
GACGAACGCUGGCGGCGUGCUUAACACAUGCAAGUCGAACGGAAAGGCCCUGCUUGCAGGGUACUCGAGUGGCGAACGGGUGAGUAACACGUGGGUGAUCUGCCCUGCACUUCGGGAUAAGCCUGGGAAACUGGGUCUAAUACCGGAUAGGAGCCAUUUUUAGUGUGAUGGUUGGAAAGUUUUUUCGGUGUAGGAUGAGCUCGCGGCCUAUCAGCUUGUUGGUGGGGUAAUGGCCUACCAAGGCGGCGACGGGUAGCCGGCCUGAGAGGGUGGACGGCCACAGUGGGACUGAGACACGGCCCAGACUCCUACGGGAGGCAGCAGUGGGGGAUAUUGCCCAAUGGGCGCAAGCCUGAUGCAGCGACGCCGCGUGGGGGAUGACGGCCUUCGGGUUGUAAACUCCUUUCGCUAGGGACGAAGCUUUUUGUGACGGUACCUAGAUAAGAAGCACCGGCUAACUACGUG